CACCUCUUGGGAUCGUAUCUGGAGAGUUUCCAGUACUCUACCCAUCUCAGCCAUGGGAGGGAGAGUCAAGCAGAGGCAUACCCAUUCCAUUCUUAGCUUGGGCAGUAGCUAAUGAGUGGAAGGCAAUCUGCUAACUUG